UUAUGUCAGACUCCUACUGCCUAAAAAUAUUCUUCUUAAUUCAGGUCAUAUCCGUUAUCGAGUCUUCCCUUCGAUGAUUCUGCAACGCAUCCUGCCUGUUUUGACAUAAGGUGCCGUGACGUGGAAACUGACGAAGGGCCUAGUCCAUAAGUUCAAAGUCGCUCAACGUGCAAUGGAACGGGCGAUUUAUUACUAAAACUAC
rnacentral:misc_RNA from 1 species